GCCUGGGUGGCUCAGUCGGUUGAGCAUCUGACUUCGGCUCAGGUCACGAUCUCACGGUUUGUGGGUUCGAAUCCCACAUCGGGCU
rnacentral:tRNA from 1 species